GGGUACCGUCAAUUCAGGCUUCUAACCUGUUUUUUCGUCCCCUCUAAAAGGAGUUUACAAUCUUACGACAUUCAUCCUCCACGCGGCGUUGCUGGGUCAGGCUUUCGCCCAUUGCCCAAUAUUCCUC
rnacentral:rRNA from 1 species